rnacentral:rRNA from 1 species
CAGUCGCCGCGGUAAUACGUAGGGUGCAAGCGUUAAUCGGAAUUACUGGGCGUAAAGCGUGCGCAGGCGGCUCGCUAAGACAGAUGUGAAAUCCCCGGGCUUAACCUGGGAACUGCAUUUGUGACUGGCGGGCUAGAGUAUGGCUGAGGGGGGUAGAAUCCCACGUGUAGCAGUGAAAUGCGUAGAGAUGUGGAGGAAUACCGAUGGCGAAGGCAGCCCCCUGGGCCAAUACUGACGCUCAUGCACGAAAGCGUGGGGAGCAAACAGGAUUAGAUACCCGAGUAGUCCCUGUCUCUUAUAC